rnacentral:rRNA from 1 species
GUCCCAGACUCCUACGGGAGGCAGCAGUGGGGGAUAUUGCACAAUGGGGGAAACCCUGAUGCAGCGACGCCGCGUGUGGGAAGACGGUCCUCUGGAUUGUAAACCCCUGUCCCCAGGGACGAAGAUGAUGGUACCUGGGGAGGAAGCUCCGGCUAACUACGUGCCAGCAGCCGCGGUAAUACGUAGGGAGCGAGCGUUGUCCGGAAUUACUGGGUGUAAAGGGAGCGUAGGCGGGGAUGCAAGUUGGGUGUCAAAUCUACCGGCUCAACUGGGAGUCGCACUCAAAACUGCAGCUCUUGAGUGAAGUAGAGGCAGGCGGAAUUCCUAGUGUAGCGGUGAAAUGCGUAGAUAUUAGGAGGAACACCAGUGGCGAAGGCGGCCUGCUGGGCUUUUACUGACGCUGAGGCUCGAAAGUGUGGGGAGCAAACAGGAUUAGAUACCCGGGUAUA